UACGUAGGGGGCGAGCGUUGUCCGGAUUCAUUGGGCGUAAAGAGCUCGUAGGCGGUUCAGCAAGUCGGGUGUGAAACCUCCAGGCUCAACCUGGAGACGCCACCCGAUACUGCUGUGACUUGAGUCCGGUAGGGGACCACGGAAUUCCUGGUGUAGCGGUGAAAUGCGCAGAUAUCGGAAGGAACAUCAGUGGCGAAAGCGACUUCCUGGACCAAUACUGACGCUCAUGUGCGAAAGCGUGGGGAGCAACAGG
rnacentral:rRNA from 1 species